rnacentral:lncRNA from 1 species
AUUUGUUUUGAUCCAAAGGGGGGCACAGGGAAUGACCGUGGGGCGGGUGUUUACGCAUUGUAGGUCUUCUCGCUUUUUUGCUUUUACUUUCCAUUGGUGUCCAUACUACAUAAAUCGAGCAGCAGUCCUGACCCAGACACAGCUCAACCUAAGACGACUGCGACGCUCCACCGAAGACCUACUGAGUUAUUAAAACUUGUGACACUCUAAAAUGGCACUUUCCAACCAUGGACAUGAAGGUACCCAUGCUGAAGCUGGAGUAUAUGCAGAAGCUCCUGGAAAGGUUGGAGCCUUUGCAGGAGCAGGAGUUGGAGGAACUCAUGCUGAACUCAAUCUUGAAGGCCCAAAUGCCUCAGCUGGUGCUGAAAUCGGUGUGACCGGAGUUGGAGCAAUGGCUCGAGCUGAAGUUGGCAGUGCAUCAGUUCAAGCCGGGCCAAUUGGUGUGAAAGUGGGUCUUGGAGUUGACACGGGUGCAUCUGUUGGUGCGGAUGGGGUGGAGCUCAAAGUCCUGGGAACUGGAUUCACAAUUGGUCAAAAACUAGUGUAUCUGUUCUGGGUUCAGAAGUGUCAUGUUCAGUCAUGUGAUCAGACAGGUAUUAAUAACCUUUGAAUAUCUCAAUAUACUCUAUAGCAACAUUUUAAACUGAGUCGUUAAGACAAAAAAGAAACCUGAAAACAAAAUUUAGUAACUUUUCAAUUUUAAUGCAUACUUGCUAAUUGUAACUAAUUUUCUGCUUUGAAACAAUAUGUAUUGUGAAAAGUGCUAUACAAAUAAACUUAAAUUGAAUGUUUAUUGCUGUUCUGUAAUGUGAGUCUCAGCAUAUAACUGUUAUAAUGUGAACUUUGGGGAGACUUUGGACUUUUGCAUCUGGCCCUUUUCAUUUAUAAAAUUUUCACAACAUUCAAAUAAAUAAAUAAAUAAAUAUUUUGCCAUGCUCUUUGAUGCAAACAUUUUAUAAGAAUUGUAUUUGCAUUUGUAUUGUACUGUAUUUGACUUUCCAUUUCCAAAACAAGCCUAUACUGUAGGUGGGUUCAGCCAACUACAUGUGAACAAGGUCACUCAAAACUAGUGAUCGGAGAAAUUAAGCUUUUCAAAAUUAAAAUAAAAUGAACCAGUUACUUGGAAAUGGCACUAUGCUUUGGAAAUUACUUCCAUGCAUUUUCAUUUAAAGCACGCCACAAUAAUCAUUGAGGCUUUUAUAGUGUCUUUGAACCUCUUUGUCCGUUGUUUUCAGAGGCGCAUUAAUGCACGGGCUUCAAGGGGCUAAAGCCCAGGGGCCUACACUUGGGAGGGACCUACUGGCUGCUGGGAAAUUAUAUUUUUCAAAUAAUUAUUUGUAUACAUGGGAGUUUGCAGCAGUGACAAAAGCAUUCUGUAAACAAACUCAAACACUUAUUUUCAGUGACGCCCUGCUUGUAGUAUUUGUAGUGAAUGGUUCAGUUUAGGUUUCCCCCACACAGUUUGUACAGUUGGUAUGUUCCACCGAUAUACUGUAAGCGGAAUGCACAAAGCGCAAGUAAAGAAGCAUAUAAUGAGUGCUAUUCUGUGUGCGUGUUUCUAUGUUAACGUGCAUUCCGACUUUUUUACUCCCCUCGGGCUGGGCUUCGGGCCAAUUUUCACAUUAUAGUUCAGACGCGGGCCGGGCCUCGGGCCUGUUUAAGGCUUCUCAUUAUUUUAGACAUCCAUCAAUUAGUGAUGAAAAAAAUGCUGCACUGGUGGAAACCACAUGAGACCAUGCUACGACAGCUCGACGGUGUGUAGAGUAAGAUUGCCGCAAUGCAUCGGCAAAAGUAAUAACCAUGAACGUGUCAGGGGGAAACAGUAAGGAGAUAUUUGAAUUAUUUACUAAUAAAUAGUGUUUUCUGAGUCAGUGUGCAAGGAUGAAGUUGCCGAUCCUCGCCUUCUCUUAAUUAGACACUUCUUUAGAGAGAAGUGCAUCUUUACUCCUUACGGAUUAUGAUUAUAAUGAAAGAGUUUUUGUUUUUGAUUUGUUUUAUUUCCUCGUGAUAUAAGGAAGCUUUUGAAAAUGACCUAAUAAAGAAGAUUCCCAAAACUUUGCAGAAGCAGGAGUUGGACAAGCUUGUGCUGAAUUCAGUGUAUUUAAGGCAAAGGCUCAAAUGCCUCAGCUGGUGCUGAAAGUUAAAGUGACAUGAUGUAUAGUCAAGUAUGGUGACCUAUACUCAGAAUUAGUGCAAGUAUGGUGACCUAUACUCAGAAUUAGUGCUCUGCAUUUCACCCACCAGCAGUGAGUAGUAAACACACACACACACACAAAUACAUACACACAAACACCCAAAACAGCCCGGGGAGCUAUUGGGGGUGGUGCCUAGUUGUGGGUAAUGAGGGUGGAAGAGAGCACUGUUAAUUCACUCCCCCAACCACAUUUCCUGCUUGUACUGAGACUCGAACCCGCCACAUUCAGGUUACAAGUCAGACUCUUUAACCAUUAGGUCAAUACUAACCCUGAAGCCAGUGUGGUUGGAGCCAAAGCAAUAUUUAAGAACGAUCUAUUCUGUUAAAUAACAGAUUGGAUAUUUAAACAAUAGCAAAUUUGUUUCAAUUUAACACCAAAAACUGAAAUGAAAAAUAACUUCAAUAAGAAAACAACUUUGAAAUUUUCAUUAUUGUGUAUGUCCAGUGCCAUUCAAAGCCAUAAUUAAAUUUAAAGGAUUUCUGCAUAAGCCCUGCCCAUUUGUGAAUUCCUGCUUACUUGGAGUGUUGAUCACAGAGGUCUCAAAGCUAAAGCAGUACAUACUUGGGAUUUUUUAGAAAUAUGAUAGCAACCACCUAUCUUAUGCAUACAAAGAUCAAACUAUCAGAGUGUUUGUAAAUAUUCGGAAAUAAUUUACACAAUAAUUUAUGUCUCUUUGAUCAUUGGAAUCAUUGGGUCAUGACGAAAAAAGCACACGAAACAGAUUGGAUCACCACUAUUUUGAAGUUUUUUGAAAAACCUAAAAGUCAUAGGUUUUUCGUCCGAUUGGAAUCAAACCAGUGUUUGUAAACACUGUAAUAAAUCUCUUUCUGAAUUCUGACUUCUAACAUGUUUUGCCGAAACAUUUUGAUCGCCCCCUUGUGGCUGGCUGCAGUAUAGGUCAAAAAACCCUCCUCUCAUGUAAAAUGACUGGGACGUGAACAAAUUCAUCAAAUUAUACUUCAAAUAUUUUUCAAAUAUUUUUUUUUUUUUUUAUUUCCCCAAAUAUGAUUAAACAAAUAAAUGAAUAAAUAGACCCGUUACAAAUUUGAAUGUUAUAGGUGCAAUUAAUUGCAGUUAAUUACCUUUUGUCUUUGCAGAAGCAGGAGUUGGACGAGCUUUUGCUGAAUUCAGUGUUUUUGAUGUAGAAGCCAAAGGUCUGAGGUCAGUGUGACUGGACUGGUGCUGGAGCAAUGGCGCGGGCCGAAAUUGUCAAUGCUUCUUCUAAAGCCGGUCUAUUUGGUGUGAAAAUGGGGCUUGGAGUUGACACGGGUGUCAUGUUCCAUCAUGUAAUCAGAUAGCUAUUAAUUACCUUUGAAUAUCUAUAUGUAACAUUUUCAACUGAAUCAUUAAAACAUCCUUUUUUAACUUUUUAGUUUUAAUGCAGAAUUAGUAUUGUUGAUGAGCUAUAAAUAUACAGAGUUAUACUUUAAAAAUAUUAAAACAAUGUUCGAUUUUAGACUUAUUUGUAUUAUUAUUUUUCAUAUUUGUAUGUGAUUAUGCAGGUGUGUUUAAUUAGAUCACACCAGGACCAGUUUGUAACCAACCUAUUGGAAGACUUCAGAUGACGCCAACCUUGGAUCAACAUACAAAACUGUCACGUGUUAUCCUUAUAUUGUAAUCUUUAUAAACACAAGUAUUUUUAUCUUACACAUUUGUUGUGUCUGUUUGACUGAAUACAUGACAUUAACUAACCACAUUAUAUUAUAUACAUGAUGUUAAUUUACCACAUCAUAUGUUAUAUAAGGUAUUGCCAUAUGGACAUUACUUAUUGCUGAUAACAGAAUACUUCCUAACUAUAAUAUUGAAACAACACAUUUUCUGCUUUGAAACAAUAUGUAUUGUGAAAUAAUAAACUUAAAUUUAAUAAUAAACUUUUCUCUUCUGUAUUAUCAGUCUCAUCAUAUAACUCUUGUAAUGGGAACUUUUGGGAGACUUUGGACUUUUGCAUCAGUCCUUUUCCAUUCAUAAAUGCUCAUGCUGUGCUGGACUGGCCAGCUGGACCAUAUCUGAAGAAUAUUUUAAGCAU